GGGAAGGUAGCUUAGUGGUAGAGUGUUUGCCUAGCAUGCUUGAGGCCCUGGAUUCUGUCCUCAGCCUUUCCA
rnacentral:tRNA from 1 species